GAUGAACGCUGGCGGCGUGCCUAAUACAUGCAAGUCGAGCGAAUGGAUUGAGAGCUUGCUCUUAUGAAGUUAGCGGCGGACGGGUGAGUAACACGUGGGUAACCUGCCCAUAAGACUGGGAUAACUCCGGGAAACCGGGGCUAAUACCGGAUAACAUUUUGAACCGCAUGGUUUGAAAUUGAAAGGCGGCUCCGGCUGUCACUUAUGGAUGGACACGCGUCGCAUUAGCAAGUUGGUGAGGUAACGGCUCACCAAGGCAACGAUGCGUAACAGUCCUGAGAGGGUGAUCGGCCACACUGGGACUGAGACACGGCCCAGACUCCUACGGGAGGCAGCAGUAGGGAAUCUUCCGCAAUGGACGAAAGUCUGACGGAGCAACGCCGCGUGAGUGAUGAAGGCUUUCGGGUCGUAAAACUCUGUUGUUAGGGAAGAACAAGUGCUAGUUGAAUAAGCUGGCACCUUGACGGUACCUAACCAGAAAGCCACGGCUAACUACGUGCCAGCAGCCGCCGUAA
rnacentral:rRNA from 1 species